GUAGAAAUGUAUUACAUCCAAGGACCAAUUUUCCCAUCCCUGGGCUAUGUAUUUCUGAUUCUAUAACAGAAGUCAAUGGGUUCUGCAGCAGAAUAAAGCAAGCGAAUGGAGCCAACUUCAUUGUUAACACAAUGGAGCAGCUGCAUGGUGACUGCAGACAUUACUGGAGACUAUCAGUCAUUGGUACAAUCAAGAAUGAAUCUCCUUCCAAAUUUUCACAAGGAAACAAUAGCACAUCCCCUAUACAUACUGGCAUUUACAUGCUCUUUCUGACAGUUCCAAGCUGCUCCAUAGAAGAGAAUCUGGCCAAGGGCCUGGGUUGGAAACAGCACACAGCUAUAAUGAUAUCCACCAUUACUGAAUGCUUAAGGGCCUGGCACUACCCUGAAAUUUGAGUAU